UAUUACGUUGACACGACUACCCACUCAUUCCGCUUGCAAACAGGAUUACUCUUUAAAAAACGAUAAAUGGAAAACCGGGUUGUGGUGAUGUUGUGGGCUCAAAACUAUUUAAUUAAGACACUUAACAGAAAGAAGAAACCGCCACAGAACCAAGCAGCGCGUGGUUUAAUACUUCGGGAGUGCUCAACAGGAAAUAAGAGUUAUUUAUUGCCACGUCCAAAAAUCGCCAAAAUUUAAGGGCAUGAUUAGGAGCUUUAAAAUUAAGUAUCUCACCUCUGAGCACCGUAAUUACAAUGUAUCGCAGUCUUUCUAUUGCACAAACACAUUUUGUAUUGAUAGUAUAUGUGGCUGUUCUUUACUGCCAUAAAUUAUUCAAAGAUCAAUUCAGUAAGCUUUGCAAUUUGUCUA